UGAGAAAACAACCUGGUUCCUGGAAGGAGAGAAACAAGGUGGAGUCUUCUCACAGAAACAAGGAGAAGGUCAGAGAGACCUCCGGGAGCAUCUCAUCUUGGAGACACCACAAGCUCAAGAGGCUGCAUUAGCGUUUUUUAUUGGAGGCAUUUUCUUUUCCUCCAGAUUUUGUUUUUGACUGUUAAGGUCAUAGCUACAAACAAUUGAUCAAGCCUAAAAGGGCAUUUAUAAACCACCUGCAUCUACAUUUUUUUCUUACUGUGGAUGGAUUUAAAAAGCCGUUUCAAGAUGAAAUCUUAUGAGUCAUUAUCAUGUCUUCUGAGGGCUGAGAUAUAACUUUGAAGUAGAGCCCAAACAUGAAGAUCAUGAAGAUGGCUUCUUCUCCAAAUGAUGUUAUCUUAAAAACUUGAAAAAGACAAAAAAAAAAAAAAAAAAAAAGAAGAAGAAAAAGAAAAAAGAAAGAAAAAAAGAGAGAGCGAGCCAAGGGAACUUGAAUCAGACAAACCUGGUUCAAAGUGAUUAUUCAACAAAUGUAAGCUGUUAUCAUCUUGUCCUCCAUCAUUCAAAUAUGUCCUGUAUAGAUCUUCCAUUAAUUUCAAAUAUCUAAUGAUCUACACCAUCAAAUAUUAUGAAGGUGAUGUUUAGCAGGUCAUUGGCUAAGACAGGCUCUACCUCAGUCUCUAAUAGAGAAGGAAAGACAAGUAGCAUUUACUAACACCCACAGUAUGCUUCAUAUUGUUGCCAGAAAUUUCAAAUGCACCAUCUAUUGAUGCAUGGAAUCCUUUCAACAUUCUUAGAAGGUGAGUGUUAUCUUAACUUUUCAUUUUAGGAAAAUGAAGCUGAGAGUGGUUAAGUAUCUUGCUUAAGGUAAUAUUCAUACCAUGGGGAGGAUCAUUAUAGUUGACCAGUUAAAUACGUGAAUUGAAGGUAAUAUCACAGAUCCCUGCUACUCAAAAUGUGGUCCACUGACCAGCAUCGCUGGCAUUACCUGGGAGCUUGUUAGAAAUGC
rnacentral:lncRNA from 10 species